rnacentral:rRNA from 1 species
UACGGAGGGUGCGAACGUUGUCCGGAAUCAUUGGGCGUAAAGGGCGCGUAGGUGGCCCGGCAAGCGUGCGGUGAAAGUCGGGGGCUCAACCCCCGAUCGGCCGUGCGAACUGCGGGGCUGGAGCACUGUAGAGGCAGGCGGAAUUCCGGGUGUAGCGGUGGAAUGCGUAGAGAUCCGGAAGAACACCGGUGGCGAAGGCGGCCUGCUGGGCAGUGGCUGACGCUGAGGCGCGACAGCGUGGGGAGCGAACGGG